UGGGGAAUAUUGCACAAUGGGCGCAAGCCUGAUGCAGCGACGCCGCGUGAGGGAUGACGGCCUUCGGGUUGUAAACCUCUUUCAAUAGGGACGAAGCGCAAGUGACGGUACCUAUAGAAGAAGGACCGGCCAACUACGUGCCAGCAGCCGCGGUAAUACGUAGGGUCCGAGCGUUGUCCGGAAUUACUGGGCGUAAAGAGCUCGUAGGUGGUUUGUCGCGUUGUUCGUGAAAACUCACAGCUUAACUGUGGGCGUGCGGGCGAUACGGGCAGACUAGAGUACUGCAGGGGAGACUGGAAUUCCUGGUGUAGCGGUGGAAUGCGCAGAUAUCAGGAGGAACACCGGUGGCGAAGGCGGGUCUCUGGGCAGUAACUGACGCUGAGGAGCGAAAGCGUGGGGAGCGAACAGGAUUAGAUACCCUGGUAGUCCACGCCGUAAACGGUGGGUACUAGGUGUGGGGUUUCCUUCCUUGGGAUCCGUGCCGUAGCUAACGCAUUAAGUACCCCGCCUGGGGAGUACGGCCGCAAGGCUAAAA
rnacentral:rRNA from 1 species